UGGAGCUUGCUCCACGGAUUAGUGGCGAACGGGCUGAGUAACACGCUGAAUAACCUGCCCUCAAUUUCGGAAUAACCCAGGGAAACCUGGGCUAAUACCGGAUACGUAAACCUGUGGCAUCACAUGGUUUUGGAAAGUUUUUCGAUUGAGGAUGGAUUCGCGGCCUAUCAGCUUGUUGGUGAGGUAAUGGCUCACCAAGGCGACGACGGGUAGCCGGCCUGAGAGGGUGAACGGCCACACUGGGACUGAGACACGGCCCAGACUCCUACGGGAGGCAGCAGUGGGGAAUAUUGCGCAAUGGACGAAAGUCUGACGCAGCGACGCCUCGUGAGGGACGAAGGUCUUCGGAUUGUAAACCUCUUUCAGCAGGGACGAAGCGAAAGUGACGGUACCUGCAGAAGAAGCACCGGCUAACUAUGUGCCAGCAGCCGCGGUAAUACAUAGGGUGCAAGCGUUGUCCGGAUUUAUUGGGCGUAAAGAGUUCGUAGGCGGUUUUUCGCGUCGGAUGUGAAAACUCAGGGCUCAACCCUGAGCCUGCAUUCGAUACGGGAAGACUCGAGGAC
rnacentral:rRNA from 1 species